AUUGAACGCUGGCGGCAUGCUUUACACAUGCAAGUCGAACGGAUCUAGGGGCUUGCUCCUAGGUUAGUGGCGAACGGGUGAGUAAUGCAUCGGAACGUACCGUGUAGUGGGGGAUAACCUGGCGAAAGUCAGAUUAAUACCGCAUACGAUCUACGGAUGAAAGCGGGGGACCUUCGGGCCUCGCGCUAUACGAGCGGCCGAUGUCGGAUUAGCUAGUUGGUGAGGUAAAGGCUCACCAAGGCGACGAUCCGUAGCGGGUCUGAGAGGAUGAUCCGCCACACUGGGACUGAGACACGGCCCAGACUCCUACGGGAGGCAGCAGUGGGGAAUUUUGGACAAUGGACGCAAGUCUGAUCCAGCCAUGCCGCGUGAGUGAAGAAGGCCUUCGGGUUGUAAAGCUCUUUUGUCGGGGAGCAAAUCCUGCCUGCUAAUACUAGGUGGGGAUGAGAGUACCUGAAGAAUAAGCACCGGCUAACUACGUGCCAGCCGCCGCCGUAAUAC
rnacentral:rRNA from 1 species